rnacentral:rRNA from 1 species
AUUGAACGCUGGCGGCAGGCUUAACACAUGCAAGUCGAGCGAGCGGCGGACGGGUGAGUAAUGUCUGGGGAACUGCCCGAUAGAGGGGGAUAACUACUGGAAACGGUGGCUAAUACCGCAUACUAUCGGAUGACCCACAUGGGAUUAGCUAGUAGGUGGGGUAACGGCUCACCUAGGCGACGAUCCCUAGCUGGUCUGAGAGGAUGAUCAGCCACACUGGGACUGAGACACGGCCCAGACGCCUACGGGAGGCAGCAGUAGGGAAUCUUCGGCAAUGGGCGAAAGUCUGAUCGAGCAAUGCCGCGUGAGUGAAGAAGGUUUUCGGAUCGUAAAGCUCGUUGUUAGAGAAGACGGUAUCUGACCAGGAAGCCACGGCUAACUACGUGCCAGCAGCCGCGGUAAUAC